rfam:Haemonchus contortus, ISE/inbred ISE, WGS project CAVP01000000 data, contig: Hcontortus_39519
GGCACAAAUUCGAAGUAAGGUAGUUUAGUAGGGUCAGUUGAUCCUACUAUUCGACCUUUCUUGAAACUUGUGCUC